rnacentral:rRNA from 1 species
GACGAACGCUGGCGGCGUGCUUAACACAUGCAAGUCGAACGGAAAGGCCCUGCUUUUGUGGGUUUCUCGAGUGGCGAACGGGUGUGUAACACGUGAGUAACCUGCCCUUUACUUUGUUAUAACUUCAGGAAACUGGUGCUAAUACCUGAUAGUAGCUCCUGCUGCUUUGUUGUGUUUGGUAUGUUUCGGCGGUUGGGGAUUGUCUCGCGGCUUAUCCGCUUGUUUGUGGGUUAGUUGCUUACCAAGGCUUUGACGGGUAGCCGGCCUGAGAGGGUGACCGGCCAAAUUGGGACUGAGAUAAGGCCCAGACUACAACGGGAGGAAGCAGUGGGGAAUAUUGCACAAUGGGAGGAAGCAUGAUGAAGAAAAGCAGCGUGCGGGAUGACGGCAUUCGGGUUGUAAAAAGAAUUAGAAUGUGACGAAGCGUGAGUGACGGUAAUGGGUAAAGAAGCACCGGCUAACUACGUG